AAUCUGAUGGUGUGGACAGCUUGAACAGAGAUUCUUGAACCUCUCCCAGUACUCAUAAAGGGUCUCCCCAGAUUGCUGCUUGAUGCCAGAAAUCUCCUUCCGUAUGGCU